rnacentral:lncRNA from 1 species
UCUCCAUCAUCCCCAUCCUCAUCCUCAUCCCCAUGGUCUCCACCCCCAUGGUCUCCAACCCCAUCUCCAUCAUCCCCGUUCUCCUCAUCCCCAUGGUCUCCACCUCCGUUUCCAUCAUCCUCCUCAUCCCCAUGGUCUCCAUCCCCAUGGUCUCCAUCCCCAUCCUCAUACUCAUGGUCCCCAUUUCCAUGGUCUCCAUCAUCCCCAUCCUCCUCAUCCCCAUGGUCUCCAUCCAUCCUCAUCCCCAUCCCCAUGGUCUCCAUCUCCAUUCCCCUCUCCAUCCCCAUCCCCACCAUCCCCACGGCCCCAUCUCCACCCCACUGCCUCCACCUCUUCUUCCAGGGCCUCCCAGGAGAGAGGGGUCUGGCCGGCCCCGAGGGGAAACCGGGCUUGCCAGGCUUCCCCGGCGUGCUGGGACGCCCGGUAGGUCCCCGUCCCCCCCUGCGUGUCCCCGUGUCCCCCUGCAUGUCCCUGUUCCCCUGGUUCUUGCCCCGUGGGCGCUUGGCACGGCGCAUCCUGGUGGGAUCUGGCGGUGCUUGUCCCUGCUUGGCGCGGGUGCCCAGAGCCACCGUGGAGCGGGGACCCGCUGCCCACAUCUCUUCCUCCCCCCCCAGGGCAACCAGGGAGAGCCGGGACCACCAGGACCUCCGGUAAGGGUCCCCCCAGUGUCCCCAUUGUCCCCGUGCUGGGAUCGUGCUGUCCUGCCACCCCCUCCUCGUCCUGAGGAGCUGUGCCACCAGCGGGCACCACGAGGACGAAAUGUCCCCUUGUUCCCUGCAGGGCACCGCUGGCCCCCCGGGGACCCAGGGCCCAGCUGGGAUGAAGGUAAAUCAUCAUCAUCAUCAUCAUCACCAUCAUCAUCACCAUCACCAUAUUUGACCCCGCAGAGGAACGUGCGGUGCCCUGCAGGCACCAGGGGCUGUGGGGAAAAACGUGGGGCUGGUCCCCUGCUGGAGCCAGCCCCUGGGGGGCUCAGGGGACAUGGGGACGUGGUGGGGACGUGGUGGCAGGGCUGUUGGGGUGGUGGGACCGACGCGGGUGCUGUCUCCACAGGGCGACCCCGGGGAGCCUGGUGCCAGCAUCCGGGUGAGCCUCCACUCCCCCCUACCCGGUCCCUGACCCCAAAUCCCUUCCCAGGGGACAGCUGACGUCCCGGCGAGAUGUCCCAGCGU